AGACUUUUGGGCAUCCCUUUGGAUCACGUAUGGAGCCAUCUAACCUUCCACGACGGCUGCACUGAUAGUCACCCUUUUUGCUGGAGUUUAUUUGCCACUCACAAAAAGGAUCCUUGUGCAGUGUUGUGGAGCCAACAGCAGAUGGCGCUGACCAACUCUGCCAUCCGCUUCGGGACAUGGGUCUAAAUCUGGACUGUCACGGAGCAAACAGCGAGACAAGGAGGGGCACCAGCCACAAGACUGAUCAGACAGACAGGCCAGGCAGGACAUGUAGCCAGAGCAGGAUCCAGAGCGAUAAGGCUCUAGGAAAAGGAAGGAAAUCUCCUACACAUGAAACAGAUGUAAAAUAUUAAGUAUAGUGAUGAGAAGCAAUGAGGCAUGAGAAACAAUAAGACACAAGAAGCAGAUUUAACUGGUCUAGUACUCACACUUCCACCGGGCAAUGUUCUGUUCCAGAUUAAAGCCAUCUCACUCGUU